ACUACGGGUGGCAGCAGUAGGGAAUCUUCCACAAUGGGCGAAAGCCUGAUGGAGCAACGCCGCGUGGGUGAAGAAGGUCUUCGGAUCGUAAAACCCUGUUGUUAGAGAAGAAAGUGCGUGAGAGUAACUGUUCACGUUUCGACGGUAUCUAACCAGAAAGCCACGGCUAACUACGUGCCAGCAGCCGCGGUAAUACGUAGGUGGCAAGCGUUAUUCGGAUUUAUUGGGAGGAAAGGGAACGCAGGCGGUCUUUUAAGUCUGAGGUGAAAGCCUUCGGCUUAACCGGAGUAGUGCUUUGGAGACUGGGAGACUUGAGUGCAGAAGAGGAGAGUGGAACUCCAUGUGUAGCGGUGAAAUGCGUAGAUAUAUGGAAGAACACCAGUGGCGAAGGCGGCUCUCUGGUCUGUAACUGACGCUGAGGUUCGAAAGCGUGGGUAGCAAACAGGAUUAGAUACCCGUGUAGUC
rnacentral:rRNA from 1 species